AUUGAACGCUGGCGGCAGGCCUAACACAUGCAAGUCGAACGGUAGCACAGAGAGCUUGCUCUCGGGUGACGAGAGGCGGACGGGUGAGUAAUGUCUGGGAAAGUGCCCGAUGGAGGGCGAUAACUACUGGAAACGGUAGCUAAUACCGCAUAACGUCGGAAGACCAAAGUGGGGGACCUUAGGGCCUACCACCAUCGGAUGUGCACAGAUGGGAUUAGCUAGUAGGUGGGGUAAUGGCUCACCUAGGCGACGAUCCCUGGCUGGUUUGAGAGGAUGACCAGCCACACUGGAACUGAGACACGGUCCAGACUCCUACGGGAGGCAGCAGUGGGGAAUAUUGCACAAUGGGCGCAAGCCUGAUGCAGCCAUACCGCGUGUAUGAAGAAGGCCUUCGGGUUGUAAAGUACUUUCAGCGGGGAGGAAGGCGGUGGAGUUAAUAACUUCACCGAUUGACGUUACCCGCAGAAGAAGCACCGGCUAACUCCGUGCCAGCAGCCGCAGUAA
rnacentral:rRNA from 1 species